GUCAGUUGUUUGUAAGACUCUUCUACUUCUUCAAAAACUUGGUUGCUGAUAGGCUUUCCAAGUGGAUCCCAUCUUGAUAUAUAUUUAUCUCGCGAACCAUCAUAUAGACCAGAAGCAAUGAGCAGUUCUCUAAUGUAUGCCUCGGCUUGGUCUUCAAUCUCCAACAUCUCCUCUUCAACUGCCUGCUCAUCGAUCAUGGUCUCCUCAGAGUCAUAAGUAUCUAGUUGAUUCAGUUGCCUCCUUAACUCGUUCAGAUUAGAACUGAUAUCUCUGAAAACACGGGGCAUCUCACUAUCAUCCAGUGCAGGUACAUCAGAAGUUGUUGAUGGGGUGAGGUAGUCUGUUUGUCUCCAAUAUUCUUCAUUGAUGCUGCUGCAUACAGAUGCAGGACUUGGUGGAACUUCAGUAGGAUUUUCAUGUCUUUCAUAAA
rnacentral:misc_RNA from 1 species